CACGGCUAAACUACUCAUUAGAAUUUUCAGGAUGGAAAAUCUAAUUAUUUGGGGUUGUUCUUGGCUGAAAUAACUUGUGCAGGAUUCCUUCAGACGUGUGGUCAGCAUGAAGAUCAUGAAGAAUUCAAGGUUAAGAUCAAUGUUUUAGUUGAGACUGCACCAACAGUUCCUGAAGAAGUCUAGAAUAUCCACUACGGUACUCCUUGGCCUGUUAAUAAUGUGUGCGAUCAUCCUGCCAUGAAUGAUCAAGGUCUUCCUUGGAAACAACGGUCUUAACGAUGUAGAAAACUACGAGCUGCCUAGGCUGGUUUAUGUUCUCGUGAGGAGAGAGCCCAGAUCUGACCAUCAUAAGAAGGUUGAAGGAAUAAAUUUAUUGUAUUCAGUUGAAGAUAUGACUCUCUGGGGUUCUAUCAAAUGGUCUUGAUCUUCUGAAUGAAUGUCGACUGUGAUUAAUACAUCAACAUUAGCAAAGCUCUUAGAGAAGCAAUGUGUCCUUAGUCGGGAAAAAGCCAACAUUUGUCGUUUGAUCCUCUUCUCUCUAACUAAAUAUAAUGGUCUAACCGUGCGAGGCCAGUGUUAUCAAGGGUUACUUCAGCUGGGUGUUGAUGCGGAAGUUUUCCUGAUGGUGGUUGGCUUGCGGGAUGUAUAUAACAACAA